CUCUGUAGAAGAAAAGAGGGUGUUCAUAUGCAAGGAACAAAAGCGAGUGUGGGCACAUUUCAGGUGAAUGUAAGUGUUUAUAUUCCAUUCUUACAUUUAAAAGCCAACUGGACUGCCCAGAAGUUUGGAUGCAUUUGUUUUGUUCCUAAUAUUUUCCACACUGAAGAUGUAAGAAGAUCAUCUGAGAGCAACAGACCAAGCCACCAUGUCCCACCUGAAUUGUUCCAACAACUCCUCCCUGCGUCUGUGUUUGGCCACCUAGUCUAGUCCUGUCCCCAAACUGUGUGCUAAGAUACUCGGGACACCAGCGUGAACUCAAGAGGCCCCAGAGGAUAUUUUCAGUUUUCAGGAGAAACAGUGAAGCCUGACCAUCUAUCAGACAUCAAUGAACUCCGAGCUUGGAGUAGUUCACAGUUUCAACAAAAGACUGCAUUACACUCCUUUUGAUAAGCUCAAAUCUUCUCAUGACUGGACUUUAACAGCCACAAAGCAAGGGAAAAAAAAGUUCUAGAUUAAAAUCAGUGUGGAAAAGAAAGUAAGAGUAAUGGUAUCCAGUGUGAUUCCGAACUUUCUUUGGACAGUUGUACACUGCUCAAAAGGUACACACAUUCAGCUGGUAAGUAACUAUUUGUUACUUAUUUAAGAAUGAAAUGCAUUCGUUUUUCUCUCAAUUUACGUGUAUCUUUUUCUGUAAGUUGCUAGGACAUAAAUGGUUUGGACCUAACCACUUAACAAAUGAAACUCUUAGUUAUUUCUCUUUGCCUAGGGGUACCAGGAGACACUGUUCCCCGGCAGACAGCAGGGAUCUCUAACCCAGCUCUAGCUUCAGCACUGCAGUCCAGAGUGAUUCUCUUAAAACCCAAAUCCGAUCAGCUCUCUUCCCUUCACCAGUUCCCAUCUCAUGCAGCCCAAGUCCUCAACCUGUGUGCAAAGCUACACGUGAUCUGCUCUACCUGAUCUUGCCCCUGGCUGCUCUCCUCCCACCCCACCCCCGCCCCCACAGUGACACUAGAUU